GGACUCACUCUGUUCUUCCUGACACAACUACAGUGAGAUGAAGGAAAGAGACAGGAUCAUCUUCAAGGAAGCACCAAGGGAGGUGUUCAUGAGCAGAUGCCAUCAGAAUGGAUCCAAAUGCAAGCAUGCCAGGAGGAUGAGCCUUGUUUUCCCUCCAGUAGAAAGAAGAAGAAACUUUGCAACUUAGAAGAAACAUUCUGCAGCUUAGAAAAACAGAAAUGUGGCCUGAAAUUUGACAAGAAG
rnacentral:lncRNA from 10 species